GAUGAACGCUGGCGGCGUGCCUAAUACAUGCAAGUCGAGCGAACAGACGAGGAGCUUGCUCCUCUGACGUUAGCGGCGGACGGGUGAGUAACACGUGGAUAACCUACCUAUAAGACUGGGAUAACUUCGGGAAACCGGAGCCAAUACCGGAUAAUAUAUUCAACCGCAUGGUUCAAUAGUGAAAGACGGUUUUGCUGUCACUUAUAGAUGGAUCCGCGCCGCAUUAGCUAGUUGGUAAGGUAACGGCUUACCAAGGCAACGAUGCGUAGCCGACCUGAGAGGGUGAUCGGCCACACUGGAACUGAGACACGGUCCAGACUCCUACGGGAGGCAGCAGUAGGGAAUCUUCCGCAAUGGGCGAAAGCUUGACGGAGCAACGCCGCGUGAGUGAUGAAGGUCUUCGGAUCGUAAAACUCUGUUAUUGGGGAAGAACAAAUGUGUAAGUAACUAUGCACGUCUUGACGGUACCUAAUCAGAAAGCCACGGCUAACUACGUG
rnacentral:rRNA from 1 species